CGCAACGAGCGCAACCCUUGCCAUUAGUUGCUACCAAAGGGCACUCUAAUGGGACUGCCGGUGACAAACCGGAGGAAGGUGGGGAUGACGUCAAGUCCUCAUGGCCCUUAUAGGUGGGGCUACACACGUCAUACAAUGGCCGGGACAGAGGGUAGCCAACCCGCGAGGGGGAGCCAAUCCCACAAAGCCGGUCGUAAUCCGGAUCGCAAUCUGCAACUCGACUGCGUGAAGUCGGAAUCGCUAGUAAUCGCGGAUCAGCAUGUCACGGUGAAUACGUUCCCGGGUCUUGUACACGCCGCCCGUACCCGUAA
rnacentral:rRNA from 1 species